GGGUUGUGAGGUUAAGCGACUAAGCGUACACGGUGGAUGCCCUGGCAGUCAGAGGCGAUGAAGGACGUGCUAAUCUGCGAUAAGCGUCGGUAAGGUGAUAUGAACCGUUAUAACCGGCGAUUUCCGAAUGGGGAAACCCAGUGUGUUUCGACACACUAUCAUUAACUGAAUCCAUAGGUUAAUGAGGCGAACCGGGGGAACUGAAACAUCUAAGUACCCCGAGGAAAAGAAAUCAACCGAGAUUCCCCCAGUAGCGGCGAGCGAACGGGGAGCAGCCCAGAGCCUGAAUCAGUGUGUGUGUUAGUGGAAGCGUCUGGAAAGGCGCGCGAUACAGGGUGACAGCCCCGUACACAAAAAUGCACAUAUUGUGAGCUCGAUGAGUAGGGCGGGACACGUGGUAUCCUGUCUGAAUAUGGGGGGACCAUCCUCCAAGGCUAAAUACUCCUGACUGACCGAUAGUGAACCAGUACCGUGAGGGAAAGGCGAAAAGAACCCCGGCGAGGGGAGUGAAAAAGAACCUGAAACCGUGUACGUACAAGCAGUGGGAGCACAGAGCAAUCUGUGUGACUGCGUACCUUUUGUAUAAUGGGUCAGCGACUUAUAUUCUGUAGCAAGGUUAACCGAAUAGGGGAGCCGAAGGGAAACCGAGUCUUAACUGGGCGUUAAGUUGCAGGGUAUAGACCCGAAACCCGGUGAUCUAGCCAUGGGCAGGUUGAAGGUUGGGUAACACUAACUGGAGGACCGAACCGACUAAUGUUGAAAAAUUAGCGGAUGACUUGUGGCUGGGGGUGAAAGGCCAAUCAAACCGGGAGAUAGCUGGUUCUCCCCGAAAGCUAUUUAGGUAGCGCCUCGUGAAUUCAUCUCCGGGGGUAGAGCACUGUUUCGGCAAGGGGGUCAUCCCGACUUACCAACCCGAUGCAAACUGCGAAUACCGGAGAAUGUUAUCACGGGAGACACACGGCGGGUGCUAACGUCCGUCGUGAAGAGGGAAACAACCCAGACCGCCAGCUAAGGUCCCAAAGUCAUGGUUAAGUGGGAAACGAUGUGGGAAGGCCCAGACAGCCAGGAUGUUGGCUUAGAAGCAGCCAUCAUUUAAAGAAAGCGUAAUAGCUCACUGGUCGAGUCGGCCUGCGCGGAAGAUGUAACGGGGCUAAACCAUGCACCGAAGCUGCGGCAGCGACGCUUAUGCGUUGUUGGGUAGGGGAGCGUUCUGUAAGCCUGUGAAGGUGUGCUGUGAGGCAUGCUGGAGGUAUCAGAAGUGCGAAUGCUGACAUAAGUAACGAUAAAGCGGGUGAAAAGCCCGCUCGCCGGAAGACCAAGGGUUCCUGUCCAACGUUAAUCGGGGCAGGGUGAGUCGACCCCUAAGGCGAGGCCGAAAGGCGUAGUCGAUGGGAAACAGGUUAAUAUUCCUGUACUUGGUGUUACUGCGAAGGGGGGACGGAGAAGGCUAUGUUGGCCGGGCGACGGUUGUCCCGGUUUAAGCGUGUAGGCUGGUUUUCCAGGCAAAUCCGGAAAAUCAAGGCUGAGGCGUGAUGACGAGGCACUACGGUGCUGAAGCAACAAAUGCCCUGCUUCCAGGAAAAGCCUCUAAGCAUCAGGUAACAUCAAAUCGUACCCCAAACCGACACAGGUGGUCAGGUAGAGAAUACCAAGGCGCUUGAGAGAACUCGGGUGAAGGAACUAGGCAAAAUGGUGCCGUAACUUCGGGAGAAGGCACGCUGAUAUGUAGGUGAAGUCCCUCGCGGAUGGAGCUGAAAUCAGUCGAAGAUACCAGCUGGCUGCAACUGUUUAUUAAAAACACAGCACUGUGCAAACACGAAAGUGGACGUAUACGGUGUGACGCCUGCCCGGUGCCGGAAGGUUAAUUGAUGGGGUCAGCGCAAGCGAAGCUCUUGAUCGAAGCCCCGGUAAACGGCGGCCGUAACUAUAACGGUCCUAAGGUAGCGAAAUUCCUUGUCGGGUAAGUUCCGACCUGCACGAAUGGCGUAAUGAUGGCCAGGCUGUCUCCACCCGAGACUCAGUGAAAUUGAACUCGCUGUGAAGAUGCAGUGUACCCGCGGCAAGACGGAAAGACCCCGUGAACCUUUACUAUAGCUUGACACUGAACAUUGAGCCUUGAUGUGUAGGAUAGGUGGGAGGCUUAGAAGUGUGGACGCCAGUCUGCAUGGAGCCGACCUUGAAAUACCACCCUUUAAUGUUUGAUGUUCUAACGUGGACCCGUGAUCCGGGUUGCGGACAGUGUCUGGUGGGUAGUUUGACUGGGGCGGUCUCCUCCUAAAGAGUAACGGAGGAGCACGAAGGUUGGCUAAUCCUGGUCGGACAUCAGGAGGUUAGUGCAAUGGCAUAAGCCAGCUUGACUGCGAGCGUGACGGCGCGAGCAGGUGCGAAAGCAGGUCAUAGUGAUCCGGUGGUUCUGAAUGGAAGGGCCAUCGCUCAACGGAUAAAAGGUACUCCGGGGAUAACAGGCUGAUACCGCCCAAGAGUUCAUAUCGACGGCGGUGUUUGGCACCUCGAUGUCGGCUCAUCACAUCCUGGGGCUGAAGUAGGUCCCAAGGGUAUGGCUGUUCGCCAUUUAAAGUGGUACGCGAGCUGGGUUUAGAACGUCGUGAGACAGUUCGGUCCCUAUCUGCCGUGGGCGCUGGAGAACUGAGGGGGGCUGCUCCUAGUACGAGAGGACCGGAGUGGACGCAUCACUGGUGUUCGGGUUGUCAUGCCAAUGGCACUGCCCGGUAGCUAAAUGCGGAAGAGAUAAGUGCUGAAAGCAUCUAAGCACGAAACUUGCCCCGAGAUGAGUUCUCCCUGACUCCUUGAGAGUCCUGAAGGAACGUUGAAGACGACGACGUUGAUAGGCCGGGUGUGUAAGCGCAGCGAUGCGUUGAGCUAACCGGUACUAAUGAACCGUGAGGCUUAACCUUACAACGCCGAAGCUGUU
rnacentral:rRNA from 1 species